CCUUUGACGUUAGCGGCGGACGGGUGAGUAACACGUGGGUAACCUACCUAUAAGACGGGGAUAACUUCGGGAAACCGGAGCUAAUACCGGAUAAUAUUUCGAACCGCAUGGUUCGAUAGUGAAAGAUGGUUUUGCUAUCACUUAUAGAUGGACCCGCGCCGUAUUAGCUAGUUGGUAAGGUAACGGCUUACAAGGCGACGAUACGUAGCCGACCUGAGAGGGUGAUCGGCCACACUGGAACUGAGACACGGUCCAGACUCCUACGGGAGGCAGCAGUC
rnacentral:rRNA from 1 species